AAUCGAUUAGGCUACCUUAAAGU
rnacentral:siRNA from 1 species